AGGCUAGAAUAAAUAUUAUCUCUUAUUGAUUUAUGAAGGUUCUGAUGACAAGAAAUGGCAAAGACAGGAGGACUACUUGUCUGACAACAGGAUCCUCUACCCAUUUAUGGCAACAGCUUCAGAAAUAAGUCAGACUUGUGGGAGAAAAAAUGGAAGUACCCAAGGAACAAAUACUAGACUAUGAAACCAAAGCCAGGGAGGGUAGCCUACUUUGUGAUUGUCUCUUCCUUUAUGAGCACAUAGCUUAGUUCCCAGUCUGGUGAUGUCCAGUGUUGAUUCUCAAGGCCAGUUUUACAGAAACAACUGUUUUCUUUAUGAGAUCAUCCACCUCCCCUGACCCACACACUUCUCUACAGGUCUGGAUUAAAGUGAAGUAAUCAAUCUAGGCAAAGCAUCAGUCCUUAUAUGUUGAUAAUAAGAAAUAGAUAAAGUACAGCAUCAUGAAGUUCUAAAGGCCCAACAUGAAAACGAGGCUCAAUUUUGAAUAUUUAUAAUUCAAAGAAUGCCAUAGUCGUUUUAAUUAGUGAACCUCUGGAUACGUCUAUCCUGACAGCUCAGGAUCACUGACAUUACAGGGGUAAUGGAUGAAUAAAGAACUGUUCCCUGGUUUGCAAACACCUGGAUUUACAACACUAUUUGUUAUUAAAUAAAGUUCACAGUUGAUAUGGA